AUUGAACGCUGGCGGCAGGCCUAACACAUGCAAGUCGAACGAGUGGCGGACGGGUGAGUAAUGUCUGGGAAACUGCCUGAUGGAGGGGGAUAACUACUGGAAACGGUCGCUAAUACCGCAUACCAUCGGAUGAGCCCAUAUGGGAUUAGCUAGUAGGUGGGGUAAAGGCUCACCUAGGCGACGAUCCCUAGCUGGGCUGAGAGGAUGACCAGCCAAGCUGGAACUGAGACACGGACCAGACUCCGACGGGAGGCAGCAGUGGGGAAUAUUGCACAAUGGGCGCAAGCCUGAUGCAGCCAUGCCGCGUGUAUGAAGAAGGCCGUCGGGGUGUAAAGUACUUUCAGCGGGGAGGCGUUACCCGCAGAAGAAGCACCGGCUAACUCCGUGCCAGCAGCCGCGGUAAUUC
rnacentral:rRNA from 1 species